UAGGGAAUCUUCGGCAAUGGACGGAAGUCUGACCGAGCAACGCCGCGUGAGUGAAGAAGUUUUUCGGAUCGUAAAGCUCUGUUGUAAGAGAAGAACGAGUGUGAGAGUGGAAAGUUCACACUGUGACGGUAUCUUACCAGAAAGGGACGGCUAACUACGUGCCAGCAGCCGCGGUAAUACGUAGGUCCCGAGCGUUGUCCGGAUUUAUUGGGCGUAAAGCGAGCGCAGGCGGUUAGAUAAGUCUGAAGUUAAAGGCUGUGGCUUAACCAUAGUAGGCUUUGGAAACUGUUUAACUUGAGUGCAAGAGGGGAGAGUGGAAUUCCAUGUGUAGCGGUGAAAUGCGUAGAUAUAUGGAGGAACACCGGUGGCGAAAGCGGCUCUCUGGCUUGUAACUGACGCUGAGGCUCGAAAGCGUGGGGAGCAAACAGGAUUAGAUACCCUGGUAGUCCACGCUGUAAACGAUGAGUGCUAGGUGUUAGACCCUUUCCGGGGUUUAGUGCCGUAGCUAACGCAUUAAGCACUCCGCCUGGGGAGUACGNNCGCNGAGGUUG
rnacentral:rRNA from 1 species